UACGUAAGGGGCUAGCGUUGUCCGGAAUCAUUGGGCGUAAAGAGCGUGUAGGCGGUCCGGUAAGUCCGCUGUGAAAGUCGGGGGCUCAACCCUCGAAUGCCGGUGGAUACUGUCGGGCUAGAGUGCGGAAGAGGCGAGUGGAAUUCCUGGUGUAGCGGUGAAAUGCGCAGAUAUCAGGAGGAACACCUAUUGCGAAGGCAGCUCGCUGGGACGUAACUGACGCUGAGACGCGAAAGCGUGGGGAGCAAACAGG
rnacentral:rRNA from 1 species